CAAGUCGAACGGGCUAGUGCUUCGCACUAGUCUCGUUUCUGGGGUUGUUACUCUAAGGCUACCUGCUAAAGUUAUUGCUUUAAAGCAGGGGUUUUAGGAGACUUUCCCCGAAAGGGGCCAGUGCGGAGCACUGGCCAGUGGCGAACGGGUGAGUAACACGUGGGUAAUCUACCCUCGAGUGGGGAAUAAGCUUCCGAAAGGGGGUCUAAUGCCGCAUAACGUUUCAUAACGAUGGUUAUGAAACCAAAGCCCAAAAGGCGCUCGAGGAGGAGCCUGCGUCCUAUCAGCUUGUUGGCAGGGUAAUGGCCUACCAAGGCUAUGACGGGUAGCCGGCCUGAGAGGGUGUCCAGCCACACUGGAACUGAGACACGGUCCAGACUCCUACGGGAGGCAGCAGUGGGGAAUUUUGCGCAAUGGGGGAAACCCUGACGCAGCGACGCCGCGUGGAGGAUGACGGCCUUCGGGUUGUAAACUCCUGUCAGAAGGGACGAAAUCCCGCAAGGGACUGACGGUACCUUCAGAGGAAGCCCCGGCUAACUACGUG
rnacentral:rRNA from 1 species